GACGAACGCUGGCGGCGUGCUUAAUACAUGCAAGUCAACUGAAUUACCGGUAGCAAUACUGGUAAGGAGGUGGCGCACGGGUGCGUAACGCGUAGGUAAUCUGCCCUUGGGUCUGACAUAACCCACCGAAAGGUGAGCUAAUAUCAGAUGAUGCAGCGGCUUGACAUCAAGACAGUUGUUAAAGCUUCGGCGCCCAUGGAUGAGCCUGCGUCNGAUUAGGUAGUUGGCGGAGUAAAAGCCCACCAAGCCCACGAUCAGUAGCUGGUCUGAGAGGAUGAUCAGCCACACUGGAACUGAGACACGGUCCAGACUCCUACGGGAGGCAGCAGUAAGGAAUAUUGCUCAAUGGGAGAAAUCCUGAAGCAGCAACGCCGCGUGAGGGAUGAAGGCCUUUCGGUCGU
rnacentral:rRNA from 1 species